rnacentral:rRNA from 1 species
GACGAACGCUGGCGGCGUGCUUAACACAUGCAAGUCGAACGGAAAGGCCCCUUUGGGGGUACUCGAGUGGCGAACGGGUGAGUAACACGUGAGUAACCUGCCCUUGACUUCGGGAUAACUUCAGGAAACUGGGGCUAAUACCGGAUAGGAAUCCUUGCUGCAUGGUGGGGGUUGGAAAGCUUCGGCGGUUUUGGAAGGACUCGCGGCUUAUCAGCUUGUUGGUGGGGUAGUGGCUUACCAAGGCUUUGACGGGUAGCCGGCCUGAGAGGGCGACCGGCCACAUUGGGACUGAGAGACGGCCCAGACUCCUACGGGAGGCAGCAGUGGGGAAUAUUGCACAAUGGGCGGAAGCCUGAUGCAGCAACGCCGCGUGCGGGAUGACGGCCUUCGGGUUGUAAACCGCUUUCAGCAGGGGCGAAGCUUGUGGUGACGGUACCUGCAGAAGAAGCACCGGCUAACUACGUG